rnacentral:snRNA from 1 species
UCGAAAAUUGACAGUUCUUC